rnacentral:tRNA from 1 species
UCCCUAGUUGUCCAGUGGCUAGGACUCCUCACUCCCAAUGCAGGGGGCCCAGGUUCAAUCCCUGGUCAGGGAA